UAGGGAAUUUUCCACAAUGGGCGAAAGCCUGAUGGAGCAACGCCGCGUGCAGGAUGAAGGCCUUCGGGUUGUAAACUGCUUUUCUGAUCGACGAUUUUGACGGUAGAUCAGGAAUAAGGAUCGGCUAACUCCGUGCCAGCAGCCGCGGUCAUACGGAGGAUCCAAGCGUUAUCCGGAAUUACUGGGCGUAAAGAGUUGCGUAGGCGGACGAGUAAGCAGACAGUGAAAGCAUAUGGCUCAACCAUAUAUCCAUUGUCUGAACUGCUCGACUAGAGGAUGAGAGAGGUGGCUGGAAUUCCCAGUGUAGGAGUGAAAUCCGUAGAUAUUGGGAGGAACACCGAUGGCGUAAGCAGGCCACUGGCUCAUUCCUGACGCUCAGGCACGAAAGCGUGGGUAGCGAACGGG
rnacentral:rRNA from 1 species